GGUGAACUGAGUGCUCUGUGCAUGGAACUAAUGUUAAAUGUCAUGGGGAUCCUGUACAUGGACUAAAUGCUGUGGGCCACUAGGGUACACUGUGCUUAGACUGUAAGAAACUUUCAGUAUUUGACUAUUUAGAUGACUGAAGAAGAUCUGGAUGAUCUACAUCUAGAUGAAGGCAGUGAUACAAGCUGCCCGGAGGAGCGUGCAACCUUUUGCCAUUCAUGGAAGCAUAAAGCUUUGAACAAUCAUGUCUGAACCUACAGCUGAUUGUGCUUUGAGCAUGUGCUUAGACUGGGAAUCUCCUGAGGAAUGUGCUUGAAUGACAUUUUCUGGACUUGGUCUUAAAUCCCACAGUAUGAAGGCAUGAUUAGAUGAGCCUAUGUAUUG
ensembl:lncRNA